ACACAUCUGGAUAAAAAUAACUCGAAUUUGCUAAAUUUCAGCCGUUGGGCGAUGACUGUUGACUUCCACAUUCAGCUGCUACAUUCAGCGUCUGAUUGCGGCAUCAUUCCCGAAACCGAAAUGAGAAUCUUCUGCGCAUGACGUCAGCAUUACUGCCGCGAAAACCAGAAAAGUCGGAAACAAUGCUUUUCUUAUGGGAGAGAGCAAAUUUUUCUUAAUGAAUCAUUUAAAUUUCUUACUUUUAAAUCGUUUGAAACUUUCUAAGUGUCGAAAGGAACGUUCAGACAUUAGCGUCCAGGGUUUCAAUUUAGCUGAAUUUGCGUUUUUAUAUUUUUAAAUGAUUUUUGUAGUCAGCUAUGUUACAAUCCAUCUAGUGGUAUGGAUUCGCGUGUAAAAAUGGCUGAUGCAGAGUAAACUGUAAAAAUGAAAGAACACAAAUUCGGCACAAUCGAAACCCGGAAUGCUAAUUUUCAAACGUUCCUUUCGACACUCAGAAAGUUUCAAAGGAUUUAAAAGUAAGAAAUUUAAAUGAUUCAUAAAGAAAAUUUGCUCUCUCCCAUAAGAAAAGCAUUGUAACCGUGCUUUUUCGCUUUCGCGGCAGUAAUGCUGACGUCAAGAGUCAACUGAGCCAAUGGAUGAGGCUUACCCCGAGCGGGGGGAAAUCUGCGUAAUGACUGACCUUCUUGGUCGCCCAGGCACUGACUCAGUCAGACAGUGUUUCAGCCAGUCCGACAUCAGUGUUUGUGGAAGAAAGGUGAUCAUUGUAGAAUAGGUAAUUCCAGACCGGCUUGUCUACAUAUUGCCUUUGAGUAGUUCCUCAGUUGACACAGAAUCCAUAGAUAUUCGAUCGCUCGAAAUGUAUCUCCAGAAGUGUGUCGAUUUACCGCCGCAAAAGAAUAAGCCCCUUUCUGCGAAAUACAUCAGGAGCUUUGCUUUUCCAUCGAUGAAGGACAGAACACCAAUCAUCUUAACCAAAGUAAUAGAUCAGUUAUCAAGAGAUAAAGAAGCCCUCAUUGAUAACAUGGAAAGGUGAUAAUUAAGAUGUUACUUUGAUUUUUUCACAGUUUUUAUCUCUUCCCCCUGAUGUACAGACUAACCUUUAAAAACAUUC
rnacentral:lncRNA from 1 species